UUGAAAGUGUAAAUAAAUAUUGGCUUGAUUAUUAUUAGAUAUGAUCUUUAAAUUCAAAGAAUUUGGCGGUAAUAUAUCUUUUCAGAGGAAUCUGUUAUAUAAUUGAUAAUCCACGAUAGAUUAAACUUUAUUAUGAUUUGUAUACCGCUGUCAAGAAUGUUCUCUUAGGAAAAAAUUUUCUUUUAUUUUAUAAAUAAAAUGUCAGGUCAAGGUGCAGUUUAUUAUAAAGAAUAAAUGGAUUACUAUUAUCAUAUGUUUUGAAAAUUUUAAUAUAUUAAAGUUAAGAAAUUGGAUUUGAUAAUAAAUUAAUUAAAUUUAAUUAAUUGAAAUAAGUUCUAUAUUAUGUA
rnacentral:rRNA from 1 species